AGUCGAGGGGUAGAAGGGGCUUGCCCCUUCGAGACCGGCGCACGGGUGCGUAACGCGUAUGCAACCUACCUUCAACAGGGGGAUAGCCCAGAGAAAUUUGGAUUAAUACCCCAUGGCAUAUCGGUGCGGCAUCGCAUCGUUAUUAAAGUACCGACGGUUGGAGAUGGGCAUGCGUCCCAUUAGCUAGUUGGUGUGGUAACGGCACACCAAGGCGACGAUGGGUAGGGGUCCUGAGAGGGAGAUCCCCCACACUGGUACUGAGACACGGACCAGACUCCUACGGGAGGCAGCAGUGAGGAAUAUUGGUCAAUGGGCGCAAGCCUGAACCAGCCAUGCCGCGUGCAGGACGACGGCCCUAUGGGUUGUAAACUGCUUUUGUACGGGAAGAAACACCGGUUCGUGAACCGGCUUGACGGUACCGUAAGAAUAAGGAUCGGCUAACUCCGUGCCAGCAGCCGCGGUAAUACGGAGGAUCCAAGCGUUAUCCGGAAUCAUUGGGUUUAAAGGGUCCGUAGGCGGCCCUGUAAGUCAGCGGUGAAAUCUCCCGGCUCAACCGGGAAACUGCCGUUGAUACUGCAGGGCUUGAAUUGCAGGGAAGUGGCUAGAAUAUGUAGUGUAGCGGUGAAAUGCUUAGAGAUUACAUGGAAUACCGAUUGCGAAGGCAGGCCACUACCUGCGGAUUGACGCUGAUGGACGAAAGCGUGGGGAGCGAACAGGAUUAGAUACCCUGGUAGUCCACGCCGUAAACGAUGGAUACUAGCUGUCCGGCCGCAAGGCUGGGUGGCUAAGCGAAAGUGAUAAGUAUCCCACCUGGGGAGUAC
rnacentral:rRNA from 1 species